GCCAUAGCGUUUUGUUUUGUCUCCAUUUAAAAGAUAUCAAAAUCUGAGCAAACAACUUGAUGUCAAAAGAAUCUCUGCACAUUCCGCAGUCUUUGCUGCUAAAGUGACAUCACAGCAUUUAAGCAUGUUUGAAUGAAAACAUCAGCAUAUGAACACAAAACUGAAGAGACACUGCAACCGAAUGAAAGCAGACCACUAUUUAGUGACAUUUGGACGUUUCCCUGAGGAUUAACUGCUGUGUAAUCUACCAAGAACUAAAUCAAAAUGAGUGCAAGUGGAGACGGACCACAAAAUAACCAAAACGGCCAACAGGUUAACCCACGAAUGUUGGCAAAUGGAGAUCAGGAACCUGCUAAUGGCUUCCUGAACAGUCUGUAUCGCGCUCUCCAUGAAUAUUGUUGCUAUCUAGAUGAGCUAAUAGCUUCAGUACUGGCACAAUAUGACAAUUACCUUUACGGGGACGAUGACGAUGACGAUGACGAUGACG